GUUCACACUCCUGUUCACAGCGAGUGAGUCCCGAUGGAGCGAGGCCUCGUCCGCUGCUCUGCAGACGAGGCUGGAGCUGUAGCUGGAGCUGUAGCUGAAGAUGGAGCUGAAGCUGAAGAUGGAGCUGAAGCUGGAGAUGGAGCUGAAGAUGGAGCUGAAGCUGAAGAUGGAGCUGAAGAUGGAGCUGAAGCUGAAGAUGGAGCUGAAGAUGGAGCUGAAGCUGGAGAUGGAGCUGAAGAUGGAGCUGAAGCUGAAGAUGGAGCUGAAGAUGGAGCUGAAGAUGGAACUGGAGAUGGAGAUGGAGCUGAAGAUGGCGCUGAAGCUGGAGAUGGAGCUGGAGCUGGAGCCGAAGAUAGAGCUGAAGCUGAAGAUGGAGCUGAAGCUGUAGCUGGAGAUGGAGAUGGAGCUGGAGAUGGAGCUGAAGAUGAAGCUGAAGCUGUAGCUGGAGAUGGAGCUGGAGAUGGAGCUGAAGAUGGAGCUGAAGCUGAAGCUGAAGCUGGAGCUGGAGAUGGAGAUGGAGCUGCAGCUGGAGCUGAAGAUGGAGCUGAAGAUGGAGCUGGAGCUGGAGCUGGAGCUGAAGAUGGAGCUGAAGCUGGAAAUGGAGAUGGAGAUGGAGAUGGAGAUGGAGAUGGAGCUGAAGCUGGAGAUGGAGCUGGAGAUGGAGCUGAAGAUGGAGCUGAAGCUGAAGAUGGAGCUGGAGAUGGAGAUGGAGAUGGAGCUGAAGAUGGCGCUGAAGCUGGAAAUGGAGCUGAAGAUGGAGCUGAAGCUGAAGAUGGAGCUGAAGAUGGAGAUGGAGCUGAAGAUGGAGCUGAAGCUCAAGAUGGAGCUGAAGAUGGAGCUGAAGCUGGAGCUGAAGAUGGAGCUGGAGAUGGAGAUGGAGAUGGAGAUGGAGAUGGAGAUGGAGAUGGAGAUGAAGAUGGAGCUGGAGAUGGAGAUGGAGAUGGAGCUGAAGAUGGCGCUGAAGCUGGAGAUGGAGCUGGAGCCGAAGAUAGAGCUGAAGCUGAAGAUGGAGCUGAAGCUGUAGCUGGAGAUGGAGCUGGAGAUGGAGCUGAAGAUGAAGCUGAAGCUGUAGCUGGAGAUGGAGCUGAAGAUGGAGCUGAAGCUGAAGCUGGAGCUGGAGAUGGAGAUGGAGCUGCAGCUGAAGCUGAAGCUGGAGCUGGAGAUGGAGAUGGAGCUGCAGCUGGAGCUGAAGAUGGAGCUGAAGAUGGAGCUGGAGCUGGAGCUGGAGCUGAAGAUGGAGCUGAAGCUGGAAAUGGAGAUGGAGAUGGAGAUGGAGAUGGAGAUGGAGCUGAAGCUGGAGAUGGAGCUGGAGAUGGAGCUGAAGAUGGAGCUGAAGCUGAAGAUGGAGCUGGAGAUGGAGAUGGAGAUGGAGCUGAAGAUGGCGCUGAAGCUGGAAAUGGAGCUGAAGAUGGAGCUGAAGCUGAAGAUGGAGCUGAAGAUGGAGAUGGAGCUGAAGAUGGAGCUGAAGCUCAAGAUGGAGCUGAAGAUGGAGCUGAAGCUGGAGCUGAAGAUGGAGCUGGAGAUGGAGAUGGAGAUGGAGAUGGAGAUGGAGAUGGAGAUGGAGAUGAAGAUGGAGCUGGAGAUGGAGAUGGAGAUGGAGCUGAAGAUGGCGCUGAAGCUGGAGAUGGAGCUGGAGCCGAAGAUAGAGCUGAAGCUGAAGAUGGAGCUGAAGCUGUAGCUGGAGAUGGAGCUGGAGAUGGAGCUGAAGAUGAAGCUGAAGCUGUAGCUGGAGAUGGAGCUGAAGAUGGAGCUGAAGCUGAAGCUGGAGCUGGAGAUGGAGAUGGAGCUGCAGCUGGAGCUGAAGAUGGAGCUGAAGAUGGAGCUGGAGCUAGAGCUGGAGCUGAAGAUGGAGCUGGAGAUGGAACUGAAGAUGGAGCUGAAGCUGGAAAUGAAGCUGGAGAUGGAGAUGGAGCUGGAGCUGAAGCUGGAGCUGAAGAUGUAGAUGGAGCUGGAGAUGGAGCUGAAGCUGGAGAUGGAGAUAGAGAUAGAGAUAGAGAUAGAGAUAGAGAUAGAGAUAGAGAUAGAGCUGGAGCUGGAGCUGGAGCCGCUCGCGUCUGCAGACGCUGGGUGACACUAGCUGUGACUUUCGCCGGCGUUUGCAGAGGUCGG
rnacentral:lncRNA from 1 species